GACGAACGCUGGCGGCGUGCCUAAUACAUGCAAGUCGAACGCAGUGGGGACGGGUGAGUAACACGUGGGUAACCUCCCAUCAGAGGGGAUAACACUUGGAAACAGGUGCUAAACCGAUACUGAUGGAUGGACCCGCGGUGCAUUAGCUAGUUGGUGUGGUAACGGCGCACCAAGUCCACGAUGCAUAGCCGUCCUGAGAGGGGGAUCGGGCAAAGUGGGACUGAGCAACGGCCCAGACUCCUACGCGAGGCAGCAGUAGGGAAGCUUGUGCAAUGGACGAAAGUCUGACCGAGCAACGCCGCGUGAGUGAAGAAGGUUUUCGGAUCGUAAAACUCUGUUGUGGGAGAAGCGGUAAGAAAAGAAAAAGCCACGGCUAACUACGUGCCAGCAGCCGCGGUAAGAG
rnacentral:rRNA from 1 species